rnacentral:tRNA from 1 species
CCCUAGCCUUCCAAGCUAACGAUGCGGGUUCGAUUCCCGCUACCCGC